CCAGCCCUGGCCAAAAACUGAAAAAAAAAAAAUUGGAACGAUACAGAGAAGAUUAGCAUGGCUCCUGUGCAAGGAUGACACGCAAAUUCAUGAAGUGUUCCAUACUUUU